rnacentral:rRNA from 1 species
GACAGAGGGUGCAAGCGUUACUCGGAAUUACUGGGCGUAAAGCGUGACGCAGGUGGUUUGUUAAGUCUGCUGUGAAAGCCCCGGGCUCAACCCUGGGAAUGGCAGUGGAGACUGGCAAGCUAGAGUGCGGUAGAGGAUAGUGGAAUUCCCGGUGUAGCGGUGAAAUGCGCAGAUAUCGGGAGGAACACCAAUGGCGAAGGCAGCUCGCUGGGACGGUACUGACGCUGAGGCGCGAAAGCGUGGGGAGCGGAACAGGA